rnacentral:misc_RNA from 1 species
UCCGGUUUGUCACCGGCAGUCUCAUUAGAGUGCCCAACUUAAAUGUAGCAACUAAUGACAAGGGUUGCGCUCGUUGCGGGACUUAACCCAACAUCUCACGACACGAGCUGACGACAGCCAUGCAGCACCUGUGUGUCGGCUCCCUUUCGGGCACAACCGCCUCUCGGCAGCCUUCCAGACAUGUCGAGGGUAGGUAAGGUUGUUCGCGUUGCAUCGAAUUAAUCCACAUCAUCCACCGCUUGUGCGGGUCCCCGUCAAUUCCUUUGAGUUUUAACCUUGCGGCCGUACUCCCCAGGCGGGGCACUUAAUGCGUUAGCUUCGGCACGGAGAACGUGGAAUGUUCCCCACACCUAGUGCCCACCGUUUACGGCGUGGACUAC